rnacentral:rRNA from 1 species
UGAUGUUAGCGGCGGACGGGUGAGUAACACGUGGGUAACCUGCCUGUAAGACUGGGAUAACUCCGGGAAACCGGGGCUAAUACCGGAUGGUUGUCUGAACCGCAUGGUUCAGACAUAAAAGGUGGCUUCGGCUACCACUUACAGAUGGACCCGCGGCGCAUUAGCUAGUUGGUGAGGUAACGGCUCACCAAGGCGACGAUGCGUAGCCGACCUGAGAGGGUGAUCGGCCACACUGGGACUGAGACACGGCCCAGACUCCUACGGGAGGCAGCAGUAGGGAAUCUUCCGCAAUGGACGAAAGUCUGACGGAGCAACGCCGCGUGAGUGAUGAAGGUUUUCGGAUCGUAAAGCUCUGUUGUUAGGGAAGAACAAGUGCCGUUCAAAUAGGGCGGCACCUUGACGGUACCUAACCAGAAAGCCACGGCUAACUACGUGCCAGCAGCCGCGGUAAUACGUAGGUGGCAAGCGUUGUCCGGAAUUAUU